rnacentral:rRNA from 1 species
GAUGAACGCUAGCGGCAGGCCUAAUACAUGCAAGUCGUACGGCAACACAGUUGCGAGCAAUCGCAACCGGUGGCGAGUGGCGCACGGGUGAGUAACACGUGGGUAACCUGCCCAUAAGAGGGGGAUAACAUCCGGAAACGGGUGCUAAUACCGCAUAGGUUUCUUGGUCGCAUGAUCGAGAAAGGAAGACGGCCUUUGNGCUGUCGCUUAUGGAUGGACCCCGCGGCGUAUUAGUUAGUUGGUGAGGUAAUGGCUCACCAAGACGA